CCUACGGGAGGCAGCAGUGAGGAAUAUUGGUCAAUGGACGAGAGUCUGAACCAGCCAAGUAGCGUGAAGGAUGACUGCCCUAUGGGUUGUAAACUUCUUUUAUAUGGGAAUAAAAUGUUCCACGUGUGGGAUUUUGUAUGUACCAUAUGAAUAAGGAUCGGCUAACUCCGUGCCAGCAGCCGCGGUAAUACGGAGGAUCCGAGCGUUAUCCGGAUUUAUUGGGUUUAAAGGGAGCAUAGGUGGAUUGUUAAGUCAGUUGUGAAAGUUUGCGGCUCAACCGUAAAAUUGCAGUUGAAACUGGCAGUCUUGAGUACAGUAGAGGUGGGCGGAAUUCGUGGUGUAGCGGUGAAAUGCUUAGAGAUCACGAAGAACUCCGAUUGCGAAGGCAGUUCACUGGACUGCAACUGACACUGAGGCUCGAAAGUGUGGGUAUCAAACAGGAUUAGAUACCCGAGUAGUC
rnacentral:rRNA from 1 species